AUUUUUAUCUCUUGGUUUACUCAACGAAAAAGAAGUUGAAUUUUGCAAACACAUGAAUCUGCCUAUAAUGUUUUUUUUAUUAAUUAAAAGAUUAUUAUUAAUGGAAGUAGGGAAUAGUAAUUUUAAUGUAGUAAACGAUAUUAAUGAAUUAAACUUAAAAGGGUAUAAAGUGGGACAACUAUAUGAUUUUUUUUUAAGUUUCGACAUAAAUCAACCGACAAGCGUAUUAAAUGGUACCAACGCUGCAGAUGUUGUUAAUAGUAGUGCUAUCACUACUGGUGUUGCUACAACAGCCAAAUCAAUUUCUACGGUUACUUCAAUGAAAUCAGGUUCCUUUACUUCUAAAUCAGGCUCUAUUGCAACUACAGGUGUUACUACAAAGGGUAAUAGUAACACUUUUGUGGGUAAAAAUAUAAACACUAGAAGGAGUGAAGAAAAAAAGAAAAAAUUAAAAUAUAAUAACGAACUUGAUAAAAUAGAAAUACCAAAAAUAACUAGCUUGGCAAGCGAACAAAACGCUAAUGUUCAUCAUAUAAAUAACAAUAGUGAAAAUUAUCAGUAUAAUAAUGAUACCACAUUAAAUGGCGUAUCUACAGGUGUUCGUUCUAGUACGAGUACUAGCGCACAUGCAGCCAAUAACACUUGUACAGACACUAACACGUGUACAACUUUGUCUAGUAACCUACAAAGCUACAACUCAAAUACAGAUAACAGAACGUGUGUUUAUGCACAGGAAACUACAAACAAACUUUUAAAAAAAAAUCCAAACAAAAAUGUGACCAUCAAUAACAACAUUGGUAUUAGUACUAGUAGUACUACUACUACGAAUGAUAUUUUGAAAAAAAAUUAUGAGCAAGAUAAUAAUUCAGUUUAUAGCUUGCAUACAACUGAGAAUAAAAGUUCGAAACAAAACAUAACCAAUGGGAAUGAUAAUAGUGUCAACACAGUUGAUGUUAAUAUGAGUGCCUCAAGUACCAAUACGGGCAAACCCAAUGUCAAUGAUGUGAAUAUUUACACAGAGCGAAAUAUUACUAAAGAUAAAAAGACUAAAGAAAAAUAUAUAAGAAAAAAAGAAGAAAAGUCAUGUUUAUAUAUAUCUACACAAUUAAAAGAAUCAGAUAGCAUGGAUAAUUCAAAUACUCAAGACUUGAAAAAUCAAACCGUUUUAAACACGCCACAAUCUAAAAAAAAAUGGAGUUUAAAAAAAAAAGCACAAUUAGAAGAAGAAAAUCGUAUUACCAGUAAUGAAAAAUGUGUAUAUCAAAUAAAUAACAAUAUUAAUAACGCUAAUAUUGAAACAAGAGAUUUAGACCAAUUAAUUGUUGAUAGAAAAAAAAAAAAAAAAAAUGAAGAAAAAAAUGAAAUAAUUAGCAGUUCUUUACAAAUGAAAAAUGAUAAUGAUGUACACAAUGGAUCUUUGAUUAAUGGUGAUGAUAAUAUCAUUGGGAAUUGCAACAGUUAUGACAAUAGUAUGAACGAAUUACUUUCACCGUUAGAUUGUGUGGGGAUAGGAAAUUAUAAAACACCUAUUUAUGACAUGAACGACGAAAAGAAAAGCAGUAUUUGUAGUAAUAAAGAAAAAAAAGCCCCUAAAAAAAAUAAAAUAAACGUAAAUAAACAAUAUAAUAACGAAUCAAAUAGUAUGUCUGUUAGUUUAGAAGAAAGUAAUAUUAGUACAAAUGAGCAAAUCAAAAAUCCAAAAAUUUCUAAAAAAAAAUCGGCUGAAAAAGCAAAAGAAUCUACUCCAUCGUUUAAUAAAAUUCAGUUGAAUAAAAAAAAAUCACACGACAAUAUUAACGACGUUGUUAAUAGUAAUAAAAUACAAAACGCAAAUGAUAAAAACAAUGCAAACGAUGGUACAAAAAUUAUUGAUACUACACUCGUCUCCUUGGAUGGUGUUAACACAAAUAACAAUAUAGAUUAUUUUAAAAAUAAGUUAAAAAAAACAUUAACAAAAAAUGAUGGCGUUAUAACCAAUGAAUAUUAUGAAAAUAGUUCCAAAAAAAAAAACAGUAAAACAAAAGCAAAAAAAAACACAGAUGAUUAUAUAAAUAAAAAUGAGUCAAAACAAGCAAGUAAUAGUAAUCAUAAUAAUAGUAUCGACAUGGAAAGUAAUGAUAAACCAUAUACAGAAGAGGAAAUUUAUAGUAAUAGCAUUAGCAAUAGUAUUGGUAAUAGCAAUAGCAUUAGUAUUAUCAAAGCUAAUAGCAAAAACAAUAGCAAAAGUAAUAGCACAAAUAAUAGCAAAAUUAGUAGCAAAACCAAUAGCAACAGUAUUAAUAAUGAUGCUGCUACGGAUACAAAGAAUGCUAACACCACUACAGUUGAUGACGAUGAAGACGAUUAUAACAUAACAACCGAACCAGAUGAAAAAAUAGGUAGAAAUAAAAAAUUGUUAUCUUCUUCGUCAUUGCCAGUUUUAAGCAAACAAGAAAAAAGCAAAAAAGGGAAACUAAAAACUGACACUAAUUGUUUGGGUAUCACUUCUUGUAG
ensembl:lncRNA